rnacentral:rRNA from 1 species
GAUGAACGCUGGCGGCGUGCCUAAUACAUGCAAGUCGAGCGAACAGACGAGGAGCUUGCUCCUCUGACGUUAGCGGCGGACGGGUGAGUAACACGUGGAUAACCUACCUAUAAGACUGGGAUAACUUCGGGAAACCGGAGCUAAUACCGGAUAAUAUAUUGAACCGCAUGGUUCAAUAGUGAAAGACGGUUUUGCUGUCACUUAUAGAUGGAUCCGCGCCGCAUUAGCUAGUUGGUAAGGUAACGGCUUACCAAGGCAACGAUGCGUAGCCGACCUGAGAGGGUGAUGGGCCACACUGGAACUGAGACACGGUCCAGAGUCCUACGGGAGGCAGCAGUAGGGAAUCUUCCGAGAUGGGCGAAAGCUUGACGGAGCAACGCCGCGUGAGUGAUGAAGGUCUGCGGAUCGUAAAACUCUGUUAUUAGGGAAGAACAAAUGUGUAAGUAACUAUGCACGUCUUGACGGUACCUAAUCAGAAAGCCACGGCUAACUACGUG